rnacentral:rRNA from 1 species
UUGACGGUACUGUAAGAAUAAGGAUCGGCGUAACUCCGUCGCCAGCAGCCGCGGUAAUACGGAGGAUCCAAGCGUUAUCCGGAAUCAUUGGUUUAAGGGUCCGUAGGUGGAUUAGUAAGUCAGAGGUGAAAUCCUGCAGCUCAACUGUAGAACUGCCUUUGAUACUGCUAGUCUUGAGUCAUUAUGAAGUGGUUAGAAUGUGUAGUGUAGCGGUGAAAUGCAUAGAUAUUACACAGAAUACCGAUUGCGAAGGCAGAUCACUAAUAAUGUACUGACACUGAUGGACGAAAGCGUGGGGAGCGAACAGGAUUAGAUACCCUGGUAG